UUUGUAGGUGAACCUGCUGGAAGGAUCAUUACCUAGAGUUGUAGGCUUUGCCUGCUAUCUCUUACCCAUGUCUUUUGAGUACCUUCGUUUCCUCGGCGGGUUCGCCCGCCGAUUGGACAAUUUAAACCAUUUGCAGUUGCAAUCAGCGUCUGAAAAAACAUAAUAGUUACAACUUUCAACAACGGAUCUCUUGGUUCUGGCAUCGAUGAAGAACGCAGCGAAAUGCGAUAAGUAGUGUGAAUUGCAGAAUUCAGUGAAUCAUCGAAUCUUUGAACGCACAUUGCGCCCCUUGGUAUUCCAUGGGGCAUGCCUGUUCGAGCGUCAUUUGUACCUUCAAGCUCUGCUUGGUGUUGGGUGUUUGUCUCGCCUCUGCGCGUAGACUCGCCUCAAAACAAUUGGCAGCCGGCGUAUUGAUUUCGGAGCGCAGUACAUCUCGCGCUUUGCAUUCAGAACGACGACGUCCAAAAGUACAUUUUUACACUCUUGACCUCGGAUCAGGUAGGGAUACCCGCUGAACUUAAGCA
rnacentral:rRNA from 1 species